GAGGAGUUAGCUCAAUUGGUAGAGCGUUAAUCUUACACAUUAAUGGUUAGAAGUUCAAGUCUUCUACUCCUCA